rnacentral:lncRNA from 1 species
UUUUGCACUGUUUUUGUUCAAAUUCAUGAUAAUUCCUCAAGCCAAAUAGAAUGUUAUGUUAGCUUGUUUCUGGAGGUGAAAUUCAUAGAUUAAUUUUAUUAGCUAUUCCGGGACAGAAAAGGAAAAGAAAAAAAACCACUUGUUAUCUUUUGUAUCAACUUGAUUAUUAUUCUCUCUCCCUUCUUAUCCUAUACUCCAGUGAGUCCCUCUCUUCCAGAUUGAGUUGGAGAGUAAUUUUUUGGCAAAUCUAGUUAGGACUUUAUCUAUAAGUCCUUGUCUUCUUCUACUAGCUAGUAGAAUAAUUUGGUGAUUCGAAAAAACCUGGCUUGCUUGUCGCAAUUAAGUUGUGUUUGCAAAUUGCAGCCAAACAUAUGGAAUCCCUUGCACAUAUCUUUGCUAUGUUCAAUUGGGCACUGGUAAUUGUAAGUCAAUACACAUUUUACUAUUUAAUGCUUUAUAUUUAUCUUCUGAAUUUGCUACCUGUUAAUCUUCAUUUACCAACAUAUUUUUAUAGGGUUUAGUUAUUUAUUUUGUACUGAUACUCGGUGAAUUCGAUUCAUCUUCAUAAGUCAUCUGCAUUAACAACUUUCUAAAUUAUUUCAAUGGUCGUAGAUUAAUUAAUCUCGAAUUAAUAAUGUUAAUUACUGUUUAUAUCACACUUCAGGCUAUUGAAUAAUAUUAAUUUGCACAUAUGUUGAAGAAAUCCCUACAAAGCCCUACAAUUUACUAACUUAGGUACCUUGGAGAUUCAUUUUCUUGGGGAUUCUAUAAAAACCUAAACUAAUAUUAUUUCUUGCGUUUCCAUUUCUUACAGGAGAUUGAAGAAUAGAAUGAGAGAAAACAAAGAGAUGGGAACCCUCACAAAUGGCUCACACACAAACUGUGUGAAGAAAAUGGCCAAGUGUGCCUUUUAUAUGCCACCACAAAACCACAGAUUCAACGUCAGUAUUCGGCCACGUGUAAGGCCAAAUUGCACCAAAAUACAAGUCAAAAGUUGCAUUUCAAGAAAUGCACCUUUUCAAAAUAAUAGAAAGGUCCAAGUCAAAAAUGCGAGGCAAAUUUCAACCUGUAUGUUUCUAAAGAGUCAUGUUGAGUUUGCGAUAUUGUAUUAAUCAGGAGAAAAUUUAGGCGUAACUCUCGUAUGUUGUGAAGAGAUGUAAGACGUCUUAUCUGCAGUCUACGACUUGAGGAUUAUUGUAUCUGUUGAGCCGCAAAACCCUUGAAUCAAAGAUUUCUAGUGCAAAGACUCAAUCAAUAAACAUAUUGUAAAGCCUUAAAUCUAGAUUUAAAAAAAAAAAAAAAAAAAAAAACCAGAAUGGAGAUUGAAAAGUAUGUAAUCAAAUCUUUUGAUUUCAAUCAAUUAUUGUAGAAUUCUCAAAGUGAAAUUAUGUUUUUCUCGUAUUGCUGUAAACAUUGGGUAAAUGUGAUUGAAUGAUAACUACCAGAUUUCAAGAAACCACAAAAAUAAGGAAUUCAAUACCUUGAAUGGUGAUUCAC